rnacentral:rRNA from 1 species
UGGGGAAUUUUGGACAAUGGGCGCAAGCCUGAUCCAGCAAUGCCGCGUGUGUGAAGAAGGCCUUCGGGUUGUAAAGCACUUUUGUCAGGGAAGAAAAGGCUCCUUCUAAUAUAGGGGGCUGAUGACGGUACCUGAAGAAUAAGCACCGGCUAACUACGUGCCAGCAGCCGCGGUAAUACGUAGGGUGCGAGCGUUAAUCGGAAUUACUGGGCGUAAAGCGUGCGCAGGCGGUUCGUUAAGACAGAUGUGAAAUCCCCGGGCUUAACCUGGGAACUGCAUUUGUGACUGGCGAGCUAGAGUAUGGCAGAGGGGGGUGGAAUUCCACGUGUAGCAGUGAAAUGCGUAGAGAUGUGGAGGAACACCGAUGGCGAAGGCAGCCCCCUGGGCCAAUACUGACGCUCAUGCACGAAAGCGUGGGGAGCAAACAGGAUUAGAUACCCCCGUAGUCC